rnacentral:rRNA from 3 species
CAAACGACUCUCGGCAACGGAUAUCUCGGCUCACGCAUCGAUGAAGAACGUAGCAAAAUGCGAUACUUGGUGUGAAUUGCAGAAUCCCGUGAACCAUCGAGUUUUUGAACGCAAGUUGCGCCCGAAGCCACUCGGCCGAGGGCACGUCUGCCUGGGCGUCACGC